rnacentral:rRNA from 1 species
AGUGAACGCUGGCGGUAGGCCUAACACAUGCAAGUCGAACGGCAGCACAGUAAGAGCUUGCUCUUACGGGUGGCGAGUGGCGGACGGGUGAGGAAUACAUCGGAAUCUACUUUUUCGUGGGGGAUAACGUAGGGAAACUUACGCUAAUACCGCAUACGACCUACGGGUGAAAGCAGGGGAUCUUCGGACCUUGCGCGAUUGAAUGAGCCGAUGUCGGAUUAGCUAGUUGGCGGGUAAGGGCCCACCAAGGCGACGAUCCGUAGCUGGUCUGAGAGGAUGAUCAGCCACACUGGAACUGAGACACGGUCCAGACUCCUACGGGAGGCAGCAGUGGGGAAUAGUGGACAAUGGGCGCAAGCCUGAUCCAGCCAUACCGCGUGGGUGAAGAAGGCCUUCGGGUUGUAAAGCCCUUUUGUUGGGAAAGAAAAGCAGCAGGUUAAUACCCCGCUGUUCUGACGGUACCCAAAGAAUAAGCACCGGCUAACUUCGUG